AGUUUGAAAGUUUAUGAUUGCUUUUUUGGUGAAAGUGUAUGUGUGCAAUAUGGGUAGUAACAGAAUGACAUAAGUAGUAUAGACAGACAGUCAACUUACUACUUUGGGGAAUGCUUGAAAUGGCUAUGUGCCAAGAAGUAUAAGAUGCUACCAGACAAAGUGCUUAAUUUACUAGAGACAAAUUUUGUCCUUCUUGUGGGUGGGGUUUGCUAACGUGCACACAACAGAAUAGCCAUGGCUAAGAUGGUGUCUUAAAGGUUGGAGUUUGUUGAAGCUUACAGAGAUGAAACGGGACUCCCUUGUCGGGAGCUUGCUGAUGAAGAUGAGUCCAGUGGCACCGUGACCACAGGACGGAGAUACACCACCCCUCCUUCUAGCGCCAAAUGAUAACGCCAGAUCCCGUUCCGGCCCUUUCUCCGCCUUGCUCCGUCGUCUUGCGGUGUAGCUGCUGGAUGGGUGCCUGCAAAACAACGCCGGAGGGGGGUUUGGACCCCGAGGCGCCUCCGGC
rnacentral:lncRNA from 1 species